rnacentral:lncRNA from 1 species
UAUAAAUGUUGUAUUUGCCGAUUCAAAAUGCUGUUUAUUUAGGUUUUAGGUUAAAGUUUUUUUGUAUUAGUGCAAUUUUAAAGUAAUGGUCUCCUGUAUAAGGCUAUUAAUACGUUUACAGUUAGACAAAUGUUCUGUUUUACCGUUUCCUAAAAUGUGCAGUAAGACUGUUUUGCGUGUAUGAUCCAAACGCAGUUUGUUUCAUUUAAGUGCGUCUUCCUACAUGCUAAUGUGUCGCAAAGACAAAGAAGUGGUGUGGCUCACGUUAUAAUGUCAAACAAACUAUCCUUUUACGUAAGCAAUUGAUUCUUAUAAGAAAUUAGCGAAUUUUUGUUCUUUAUUUGCAUGUCUUAAAAGCAUAGU